rnacentral:rRNA from 1 species
UACGGAGGGUGCGAGCGUUGUCCGGAAUUAUUGGGCGUAAAGAGCUCGUAGGCGGCUUGUUGCGUCGACUGUGAAAACCCGUGGCUCAACCAUGUGGUCUGCAGUCGAUACGGGCAGGCUAGAAUUCGGUAGGGGAGACUGGAAUUCCUGGUGUAGCGGUGAAAUGCGCAGAUAUCAGGAGGAACACCGAUGGCGAAGGCAGGUCUCUGGGCCGAUAUUGACGCUGAGGAGCGAAAGCGUGGGGAGCGAACAGG